rnacentral:rRNA from 1 species
UACGAGGGGGGCGAGCGUUGUUCGGAAUUAUUGGGCGUAAAGGGUGCGUAGGCGGUUUGGUAAGUCUUGUGUGAAAUCUCCAGGCUCAACUUGGAGUCUGCACGAGAAACUGCGGGGGCUUGAGUGUGGGAGAGGUGAGUGGAAUUCCUGGUGUAGCGGUGAAAAAUGCGCAGAUAUCAGGAGGAACACCGGUGGCGAAGGCGGUCUCUGGGCCUUACCUGACACUGAGGAGCGAAAGCGUGGGGGGAGCGAACAGG